CACGUAGGGGACGAGCGUUGUCCGGAUUCAUUGGGCGUAAAGAGCGCGCAGGCGGCUUGGCAAGUCGGGUGUGAAAUCCCGGGGCUCAACCCCGUGACUGCAUCCGAUACUGUCAGGCUAGAGGUAGGUAGGGGAGAUCGGAAUUCCCGGUGUAGAGGUGAAAUUCGUAGAUAUCGGGAGGAACACCGGUGGCGAAGGCGGCGACCUGGGUCGAGACUGACGCUGAGGCGCGAAAGCGUGGGGAGCAAACAGG
rnacentral:rRNA from 1 species